rnacentral:rRNA from 1 species
AUGUUUGGAGGUGUAUUCAACACAUGCUACGUGAAAAGGAUAAUGGAAUAUACGGCGAGUGGCUCGACAGGUUCAGGGGGCUAUUCGACCCACGCUUCGUUGGAUGACGGCGAAAUGGACUGGGAUUACAUAGAAACUAUGAUGAAUUCAGAAGUAAUUGGAUAUAGGAUUGAUUGGCUGAAGAAGUUUUGGUUCCCAGUUGAUUUUAUGGACUGCUGGUCAGUGUACCUUCUGGACAAGGAUGAAAAGACGGUGAUCGUGCUUGACCCAACCGAGACCGAUGUCAUGGAUGAGAUGAAAAUUAAACACGAGAGCCAUGCAAAGAAGUUCCAGCGAAGGUUCUGCUCUCUAUUCAACAACUAUUUCGGCAACGGGUUGGUUGAAACAGAUGGUUGGAAAUUCCUCUACCCAUUGGUGGCGCAGCAUGAACCGUGCAGUAGGGAAGACAGCGGAGUGUACAUCACACACUACUACACAGACUUCACCGGGUUGUACCUCCGUUCAACACUGAGCCAGGACCAGAUUGAUGGUUUGCGUGCAAAGCUCGCCUAUGAAAUUGUGACCAUGAAGGGGAACAAGGGAGACGUUCCGGAGUUCGCAUACGACAUGAUCAUAGAUUGA